CCAACCCACAGCUUUCAAAGCGUGCUGAUUUCAACUGCUACUCUGAUGCAGCCUGACUGGCUCAUGGAGAAAGCCUACCUAAGAAUGAAGCCGGGACCCGGCAGAAUGGCUCCUGUGAAGAAGGGUGGCAAGAAGAAAAAGGGCCGUUCUGCCAUCAAUGAGGUGGUGACCCGAGAAUACACCAUCAACAUUCACAAGUGCAUCCAUGGAGUGGGCUUCAAGAAGCAUGCCCCUUGAGCACUCAAAGAGAUUCGGAAAUUUGUCAGGAAGGAGAUGGGAACUCUAGAUGUGCACAACUGAUACCAGGCUCAACAAGGCUGUCUGGGCCAAAGGAAUAAGGAAUGUCCCAUGCCGAAUCCAUGUGCAGUUGUCCAGAGAAUAUAAUGAGGAUGAAGAUUCACCAAAUAAGCUCUGUACUUCGGUUACCUAUGUACCUGUUACCACUUUCAAAAAUCUAUAGACAGUCAUUGUGGAUGAGAACUAAUCACUGAUUGUCAACUAUAUCAAACAAAGUUAUAAAACUGC
ensembl:lncRNA novel transcript